UCGGAUUGCAGGCUGCAACCCGCCUGUAUGAAGUUGGAAUCGCUAGUAAUCGCGGAUCAGCAUGCCGCGGUGAAUACGUUCCCGGGCCUUGUACACACCGCCCGUCACACCAUGAGAGUCGGGAACACCCGAAGUCCGUAGCCUAACCGCAAGGAGGGCGCGGCCGAAGGUGGGUUCGAUAAUUGGGGUGAAGUCGUAACAAGGUAGC
rnacentral:rRNA from 1 species